UGAUUUGUUGUUCACAAAGGAAUAGCUGUCAGAUGUGAAAAGGAAUUCUGCCAGUGAAAAUGGAUAAUAUUACGUAAACACAUAACCUGUGUUUAUUUCCUAGACAUGGGUUAUUUCAUGGCUUGGAAAUAAGAAAUUUUGAAUUGUUUCUUUCCAUAUGUGAAACUAUCUUACCAUGGACUAUGGAAGUUGUUUGUCGGGAGCUCAUGGGUAAGUGUAAAGUAUUGAGUACAUGUUAUGCGUCUAAACUUUCUACUCUUAUGUCUAUCACUCAGGCUUACAAAUAUAAUAAAGUGAAGAAAUAGGUAUCGAACAGUAAUCCUGUAUGCAUUUGUCAUCCUAUUGAAGCUUGAUCCAUGCUGGACUAUGGAAAUAUUUUUGUCGAAAGCUAUUGGGCUUAUCGGUGUACUCUUGUAACACUAAGCUGAAUGUCAAUGUAGAGUCAGUGACAGUUUGCAAACACUAUUUGAUAAUUCAUAAGGAAGAAGCCAAGAUUGGCGAGAGCGAAAAAGUUGAAAUCCAAAGUGAUGCAGAGCAAUGUUUCGGAAACGACCCUGCCGUCGCCGUAAGCUGCCAAUCAGCAUCGCAUCUCUCGCAUUCUGCAGGAACUGGAUCGUGAUCCGGCCGUUCACGAUCGUCACUGGGGAGACGUCUUAACGAUCACAUCAACUUGGAUUUAAAAAAAAAAACCAACAAAAUUUGUUAAUUUUCAUUCUUAAAUGUUUAUUGUGUAACGUCAAUGAUUGAAAUGAAACAAUAAAAUGAGUAUAACUUCUUAAA
rnacentral:lncRNA from 1 species